CCCUAGAGGUUUAAUUAUUUUAGAUAUAAAUUCAUAGCUGCAAUAUCUUUGCACCCCCUCCCAAUCGAUGUGUUAAAAUCCUCCUCCGUUAUCUCUUACCCAUAAUACAGUAGAUUAGAUGACAUCACUACAGUCAACUGAUGGAACUACCAUCCCUCCAUUCAGUGAAGACAACCUGAGCCCCUAUUCUGUUGCUGAUACUGGAGCUACAGCAAUGAACAUAACUGUUGGGGUCAAAGGCUCUCAUGGUGCUUCACGUCUACCAGGUCAAAUACAAUCAUCACAUUUCUAGCUACUCUCCUAAGUGUUAUUCCCAUUUAAACUCGGAUUCAUUUUUGUAAUAACACUGUAUGGGAUAGACCAAUAUACCUUUAUAUUUGUAUGUCUGUUGUCGUUUGGAUAUAUAACAACACAAUCAGAAACCUCUUCUGUGUUGUAUGUUUAGGCAUAGUUUCUUUCAGUUCCCACAUACUCCUUUCUGUAGUGAAAAGCCUUCAGAGUCCUAAGAGAUGGCAGUAAAGCCCAUAAAUAUGUAAAAUUCUCGUUGAAUUAAUAGACCUGCUUUGGGCCUUUUUUUUUUUUUUUGGUUUGUUAGAAUAUAAAAAUCUGGCAAGUUCUCUAAAACUAUAUCACUUAGGUCUCUUGGGGGGAAAUGUGAGAACAGAGGAGUACAGUGUAAGCAUCAGUAGUCAUUGCAUCUCUAGAUAGCUCUGCCAGGUCUCCAAGGGCUGCAAAAGACAAUUUGUCAACUUCACAUCAGCUGCAGGAGCUGUGGAAGAAGACUGACUUUUCAUCCAGCCGUGGAUGUGCAGAAGCAGUAUGCAAAGCCAGAGAACGGAGGCGAGGGGUGGAGGGAGGGAAUUUAAGGCUCCCCCUGCCUUCCUCCAUUCCCUCCACUCCUACCACAUCACCUCCCUAGCCUGGCCUUAUGUUCCUUCUCCACCACUAAUCACACACACUGAUAGGCAUUUAGCUACAUUUAUGUUAUGGUCCAUAGGUAAAAACAACAACAAAACCUGGCUCCUUAGCCAAAAGGCAGCUGGAACUUUGUACCUAGAGAGAUAAACUAGUAAAACUAGGUUUCAUAAAAGUGGGAUCAUAUACUAUUUGUCCUUUUAUGUCUGGUUUAUUUCACUUGGCAUAAGGUUUUAAAGGUUCAUCCAUGUUGAACCCUAUAACUUCAUUUAUUUUAUGGUUGAAUAACAUCCCAUUGUAUGUAUAUAUCACAUUUAAAAAAUUCAUUCUCUGUUGAUGCACACUUGGAUUGUUUUCAUCUUUUGGCCAUUAUGUUGCAAUGAAAUUUGGCACGCAAAUGUCUGCCUGGGUCCCUAUUUUCAAUUCUUUAAGGUAUACACCUAGGAGCAGAAUUGCUGGGUCUGGUGCCAAUUACAUUAUUAGCUUCUUGAGGAGCCACCAAACUGUUUUCCACAGUGGCUGUACCAUUUUACAUUCCUCUCAAGUAAUGUGCAAGGGUUCCAGUUUCUCCACAUCUUGCCAACACUUGUUAUUCUCUUUCUUUUUUGUAAUUAUGCCAUUCUAGUAGGUGUGGGGUAGUAUCUUAUUGUGGUUUUGAUUUACAUCUCCCCAAUGACUAAUGAGUAAGCAUCUUUUCAGUGCUCAGUGGGCAUUUAUUUAUCUUCUUUGGAGAAAUGUCUAAUCAAGUCCUUUGCUCAUUUUUAAAACUUGAUGUAUUUUUUGUCUGUUGUUGUUGAAUUUUAGUUCUUUACACAUUCUGGAUACUAAAUCCUUAUCAUGUAUAUAAUUUGCAAGUUCUUUCUCCUAUUCUGUAGUUUGUCUUUUUACUUUUUUGACAGUACUCUUUGAUGUGCAAAAGUUUAAACUUUUUCUUGGCCAUACCCCCUGCAUGCAGAAUUUCCCAGGCCAGGGACUGAACUCCGGCCACCAUAGUAUCUCGAGCCACAGAAGUGAUAACACCAGAGCCUUAACCUGCUAGUGAUCCAUCUUGAGUUAAUUUUUGUAUAUAGAGUGAAGUAGGGACCCAGCUUCAUUCUUUUGCAUACGGAUUCUGUUGCCCAACAGUGUUUGUUGAAGAAACUGAUCUUUCCUCAUUCAAUAGACUUGGCACCCUUGUCGAAAGUCAAUUGGCCAUAUAUGUUUGGGUUUAUUUCUAGACUCAUUGCUAUUCCAUUGAUUUAUAUGUCUAUCUUUAUGCCGUUAGCAUAUUGUUUGAUAACUACAGCUGUGUAGUAAAUUUUGAUAUCAGGAGAUGUGAGGACUCCAGCUUUGUUCUUUUCAAGAUUCUUUUAGCUUUUUUGGAGCCCCUUGCAAUCCCAUAUGAGUUUGGGGAUCUGGAAAAAAAAAUCCCUUGGA
rnacentral:lncRNA from 1 species